rnacentral:snRNA from 1 species
UUCAGAGUAGACUUCUUCCCGAA